rnacentral:rRNA from 1 species
UACGGAGGGUGCAAGCGUUAUCCGGAUUCACUGGGUUUAAAGGGUGCGUAGGCGGGUAAGUAAGUCCGUGGUGAAAUCUCUGAGCUUAACUCAGAAACUGCCGUGGAUACUAUUUGCCCUUGAAUAUUGUGGAGGUGAGCGGAAUAUGUCAUGUAGCGGUGAAAUGCUUAGAUAUGACAUAGAACACCAAUUGCGAAGGCAGCUCACUACACAAUCAUUGACGCUGAGGCACGAAAGCGUGGGGAGCAAACAGG